rnacentral:rRNA from 1 species
GUCUAUGGCCAUGCCACGCUGAAGAAGCCCUAUGUCUGAUCUCGGAAGCUAAGCAGGGUUGAGUGUGGUUAGUAGUUGGAUGGGAGACCACCUAGGAAGAUCAGAUACUGUAGGCA